rnacentral:rRNA from 1 species
ACCAAGGCGACGAUCGGUAGCCGGACUGAGAGGUUGAACGGCCACAUUGGGACUGAGACACGGCCCAGACUCCUACGGGAGGCAGCAGUGGGGAAUAUUGCACAAUGGGGGAAACCCUGAUGCAGCGACGCCGCGUGGAGGAAGAAGGUCUUCGGAUUGUAAACUCCUGUUGUUGAGGAAGAUAAUGACGGUACUCAACAAGGAAGUGACGGCUAACUACGUGCUAGCAGCCGCGGUAAAACGUAGGUCACAAGCGUUGUCCGGAAUUACUGGGUGUAAAGGGAGCGCAGGCGGGAAGGCAAGUUGGAAGUGAAAUCCAUGGGCUCAACCCAUGAACUGCUUUCAAAACUGUUUUUCUUGAGUAGUGCAGAGGUAGGCGGAAUUCCCGGUGUAGCGGUGGAAUGCGUAGAUAUCGGGAGGAACACCAGUGGCGAAGGCGGCCUACUGGGCACCAACUGACGCUGAGGCUCGAAAGUGUGGGUAGCAAACAGGAUUAGAUACCCUGGUAGUCCACACUGUAAACGAUGAUUACUAGGUGUUGGAGGAUUGACCCCUUCAGUGCCGCAGUUAACACAAUAAGUAAUCCACCUGGGGAGUACGACCGCAAGGUUGAAACUCAAAGGAAUUGACGGGGGCCCGCACAAGCAGUGGAGUAUGUGGUUUAAUUCGACGCAACGCGAAGAACCUUACCAAGUCUUGACAUCCUGCGACGGUGCUGGAAACAGUACUUUCCUUCGGGACGCAGAGACAGGUGGUGCAUGGUUGUCGUCAGCUCGUGUCGUGAGAUGUUGGGUUAAGUCCCGCAACGAGCGCAACCCUUAUGGUCAGUUACUACGCAAGAGGACUCUGGCCAGACUGCCGUUGACAAAACGGAGGAAGGUGGGGAUGACGUCAAAUCAUCAUGCCCUUUAUGACUUGGGCUACACACGUACUACAAUGGCGUUAAACAAAGAGAAGCAAGACCGCGAGGUGGAGCAAAACUCAGAAACAACGUCCCAGUUCGGACUGCAGGCUGCAACUCGCCUGCACGAAGUCGGAAUUGCUAGUAAUCGCAGAUCAGCAUGCUGCGGUGAAUACGUUCCCGGGCCUUGUACACACCGCCCGUCACACCAUGAGAGCCGGGGGGACCCGAAGUCGGUAGUCUAACCGCAAGGAGGACGCCGCCGAAGGUAAAACUGGUGAUUGGGGUGAAGUCGUAACAAGGUAGCCGUAGGAACCUGCGGCUG